GAGUGACUCAUGCUGACUCUCUUAGAACAGAAAAAGCUGCCCAUGCAUUAGGGGACAUUUAUAUUCCUUGUCACACUGCAUUUUGUUAUACCAUGGGGGGAUGACAAGAAUAGAACACAGCACAUUUUGCAGCUGAAUAAGCAAACUGUCCAAUCCCAAUCAUUUGUGCUCUUAUUUCUCAUGGACUAUUUAUGACUUUUGUUCUGCAUCAUUAAACAUUAACCAAAACUCAACUUAUCUUCCGGCCCACAAAAGAUCCAGAACGCUUUAUCAGUGACCAGUCUCCCCAUUGAGGCCAUAAAAACCUUCCUCUCUCAGACACUUUGCCUCAAAUGACAAGCCUCUUGUAGUGAUCUAGAAUCUUCUUUUAUUCAGCGCACUGACUCUAUCUGUCUACUUUUUCUUUCCUGUUGACUGUUCCCAAAGCAGACCAGAAGAGAGGCAGUAUUCUGGGAAGGCACAGGUAGACAGACCCUUCGCUUACCCUCACGGCUGUUACACAACUAUUCCCAAGUUGUCCUUCUCUGACUAUGGUGUGCUAACUUUUUAAUUCAUGUAUAAUUCUGGUGGCUGGUCCUUUAUAUAAACUGGGAGUUGAUAGUUUUGCAAAUGCCCUUUGGUAUUAAUUGACUAUUUACUAUGUGUUCCAAACUAUUCCUUAGAAGACAUGGAAGAAAACUACAAAGGAUCCUUCUCGCAAGUCCCCAGACAAUAGCCAGGUGGGUUUCUUUAUGAUUUUAUGAAAAGCACAUUAUUUUUAGUUUAAAAUAUGGAUUUUUGCUGUAUACUGGACUGGAAAUCAGGGCCAGAAAUUAUAAAUCUGUUUAAAUGUAAAUUAACAGGUAAUAAUAGUAAUGGUCUGUACAACCAUCAUUGUACCUUAUUCACCCAUUGCAAGAGAAAAUACAGCUGUAGGUGAACAGUUUGACAGUUGUGUUGAAACAGCCCAGAUUUACUGUAAGUUUUCCAUGAGCAAAACUACAAUGUUUAUAUCAAGCUGUAGUCUUUCUGAAAGUAGAUAUCCAAGCAGUCCAGUAACAUGAAGAGACAGAGUUUAAUUUCAACUCUACCAGUUUAGUCAAGCAACUUAAACUGCUUUCUUUCUGAAUGCUCUCAUAGCAGCAAUGGGUUAGUAAUGCUCACGUGUGGGGCUGCCUAAGGCAUGAAGUAGGCCAGCAUCUCUGGGGAUGCCUAGCACAGUGCUCAACAGGUAGAGCCUUCUCUAUAAAUAUUGAUGAACUCUGAGCCCAGACCUAUAGUUUCAUAUGAAUAAAUAGGUACUGAGAAAAUGCAACAUUCAUGGUUAGCCACAUGCUCUAAAAAUUUAAAAAUCUAAAUUAAGAAAUACAUCCUGACACUGAAUGCAGGUUAAUUAAUGUAGCUCAUGGAUAGAAUUUCAAAAUGAAGGUAGCAGCCAAUAAUAAUGAUAGUAAUGACAAUAAAUAUUAUUCAGCACCACUAUGCAUCAAAUAUUGUGCCGGACAUUUAAUCCUCACAGUGACUUUAUGGGAAGGUAUUAUCACCCCCAUUUUACAGAUAUGGAUGCAGAUCUAGAACAAGUGGUGGCUGCAACAAGAGAUGAGGGAAAAGCUGGGGCCCUUAGGUCUAGGAGGCAGUGAGACCCAGCUCAGCCCCAGGUAGGCUUCCUGUAAGUGGCCCUUCCCCCAGUGCAAGUGCAGCUGAGUCCUUCCUUCCUCUAAUCAGGCGUCAGCAUAUUAUAAAUGGCAUGAGAGAAGAGGAAAACUUGCAAGGUAUUUAGGAAAGAGUACGGAACUGAAGAGGGCCAAUUGCGUGAAGCCAAAAGCAAACAGAUAGAUGCACUCAAUAAUCUGGAGAAGUGAGUUGGCAAGGAAGCAUUUCUCCUUGUGAAUUCAUUUACUGGCACCAUUUUCUCUAAAUUUUGGCCUUUAGGAUUCUCCAGGUCAACACCCUCUUCCAGGCUUCAAGCAAGUCAUUGGCUUCAGCAUCUGUGAAACCCAAGGAAUGUUAUGUAAUUGUCUCAUUCUCGUGCAUAUGUAUGUUCUUCUAAGGAGAAGGCUCCCAGUGUUCAUCAGAUUCCAAAGUAAUCUAUGAGCUGAAAAGGGUAGAAGCCCUGCUCCAGACUGCCUCCGCUGAGAGCCAGGCAUUGCUCUGCAGGGAUGAAGCUCCACUUGGAUCCUGCCCAUGGCCAGCUGAAGCCCCUUCUGCCUCUUGGAAGUCCUGGAGCCACUUAUUUUAAGAACAUGGCCUGUAGUGUGGAUCUUCAACUGCUGAUUGCAAUGGAUUCAACGUCCCUUGACCGGGCAGUGUGCCAGGGAAGCUGCAUUUCCUCCGCAAAGGCUGGCAGAAAAACUUAGGCCCCAACUUAACAGAAAACACGAAGGAGCCAGAGUCAGCUUUCCUUUUACAGUCAGAGGCUCCCCACACUGGUGGUGAAUCCUCAGCACAGGCGAAAAACAGGAAGGGAUAAAAAUGAAGGAAGUCUCUUGGCCAGUGGUCUUGAAGUGUUCCUUCCACACGGGUCCACUUCAGCCUGCCUGUGGGCAUCCUCUCCUUUCUGCAGUGGUUACUUGCAGUGCAUCUCAGCCUUUCUACUGGAGUUCCAUUCUCCACUUAGGGCCAAGCAGCCUGUCUAACCCACGGUGCACACAGGAAUGCAAAAUAUCCCCUGCUGUGUGCUGAUGCCUCAUGCAGCAGGAAGCAGUCCCAAGGUGUCCUGAAAUUAACUUACCAAGUCGCAUGCAGCAUUUCCUUCCUUUUAUUUUCGUUUGGAAAGAGACUGGAAUGGAAUGGAAUAGACAGACUAGACUAGAACAUAUCUGAGUCAUUGUGUGGUAAUGACUUCUUGAAACUUUUGUUUCAGUGUGUGUGGUGGGGUAAGGGGGGAUCACAAUUUAAAAUGUUGCCUCUCAGUCAGAAAACAACUUGGAAGGAUGAAUCUCAGGCCAUCCACGGAGCUUGCACAUGAUGUCCAGGGCCUUCUGAAGGGCUGUGAAGUUGCAGGGUAAACAACAACAAAAGCAGCGGGACAGAGGGCCUUGAUUCAGGUCCAGGAGGUGCUGGGUCCUCAGUCAAGUCCCACCGUCCCUUUGAGCCUUUCUUCUCAUCUGUAAAAUGAGGAUAAUCAGUCUCACUUCGCCUGCCUUGAAGGGUUGUUGUGCGGCUCAAACGGAACAGUGUUUGCUAAAUGUGGUGCACAUCAUAGGACAAGGCUUAUGUAAGGCAUUUUGGAAUUUUUAUUUAUAGUGGGAAGUUCAAACCAGGAAAAGAAGAGAUGGAUAAUAGCGUUGUUCAGGGUAGGUUGCACAGGGUGCUAUGGUUUGAAUGUGUCCCCCAGAAAUCAUGAGUUGGAAACUUAACCCACAAUGCAAUGGUGGUGGGAGGUCGGGCCUAAUGGGAGGAGUUGCAUCACGACAGCUCCACCCUCAUGAAUGGAUCCAUGCCAUUAUAAAAAAGCCAGACCCUGCGAGUUCACCCUCUUGCUCUCUCUCACCUUCUCUUUGCCAUUUUGCCGUGGAAUGAAGCAGCAAGAAGGCCCUCGUCAGAUGCCAGCCCCUCAGUCUUGGACUUCUCAGCCUCCAAAACUGUGAGAAGUAAAUUUCCUUUCUUUAUAAAUUACUUAGUCUGUGUAUUCUGUUAUAGCAACACAAAACAGAUUAAGACAGAGAGUGUCAAAGAUCCCUCAAGUCACCCCACGUGGCAGUCUCGGCAGUCUCCCAGUUCUCCUGCAUGUCCAGCCAGAUGAGACUAUCCAGGUAAUGCCUCAGGAAUCCUCCUACCGCAGUGAUUCUAAGCAACACAAGCAAAGGAAGUUUCAAGUUUGUUUUGUUUUUAAGUGUUCUUGACCCUAGGGCUGGUAUUUGAUAGCACCUGAAUGUCUAGGGCUGACCAGUUCUUUCUGGCUCACUCCACCCCUGCAGAGCCGUAGGAAACCCAUGCAACUUCCUCAUUGCCCAUGAGGCAAGGCAAGUGGUAGCGCACGCCUCUUAUGGAGUGAACACUACUGUUCUUUCUACUUCAUGGGAAGGUCUUGCAAAACAUUGGUUCUGUCUUCUUGCAUGAAUCAUAGACUAAAGAAUGAAGAAACACUUCUGAGUAACAAACAAGGAAGAAAGAAAAGGAAGCAAGCUGUGGUGAUGCGUUCUUGGAACAUAACUCCAAGUCAGUUCAUAGGAGCGAAAUCAACGUGUAGAUCUUUGUGUAAGGUUUUGCUGCUAAAGGACAAAAAAAAAAAAACUUUCCUUUUCCUUUUUUUUCUGAGUAAAAAGAUAACAGACACUCAUAAAAAUCAAAUAACGAAAUUAGAUCCCAAGAAGAGGACAAUGUAAGCAAUUUAAAGCACAUUUUCCCAAACUUGUGUCUUUUACUAAACUAAAAGAUUGAUACACAUACAUGGGCACAGUAUAGAUGUCAUUUUCCACUCCAUGUUUUCUUACCCAUCCACAUGACGGAGAGCUUUAUCCAUGAUGGUGGAUGAAAAUCUAGAACACUGCUAUUAGUAGUAGCAUUCUGUCAUAAAAAUGAAGCAGGACUUAUUAGUCAAUCUCACUGAAGGAUGUUUAAGUUGCUUCUGAAUUUUUGUUUCUAUAAAAAAAAAUGCCAGGAUAAACAUUCUUAUAUAUUCAUUAUUGUGCAUUUGUUCAGUUAUCUCCCAGGAAUAAGUUUCUGAGAGAAGAAUGACUGGGUCAAAAACUAUCAGAAUGUUCAACGUUAAUGUAUAUUGCCAAAUUGCCCUGCAGAAAUGGGGCAUCAGGUCCUACCAUCCCAGAAUUGCACAAGAGAACCCAUCUCUCCACAUCUAACCAACAGUGGUUACUGUCAAUCUUUUCACCUGUUUUCCAAUCUGAUAAGUAACAAAUAAUAUGUAUUUGUUGUUUUAAUUGCAUUUCUUUGAUUUCAGUGAGAUGUUAAAUUACUAAUUGUUAUCAAUGCAAAUAUACUACUAGCAGUGACAAUUGCUAAUCUGCACUGAAAAAUUUCUCUGCACCAGGCACUUUACUAAGCCCUUUACAGAAUUAUUUUCUUUUAUCCUCACAAUAACCCCUCAAGGCAGGGAAAAUAAGUAUCCCUAUUUUACAGAUAAAAACAAAGGCUUAGAGAGGUUACUUUGCUGAAGGUCAUGGAGCUAGUAAAUAGUGAAUCCAGAACUCAGUCCAGGUAGAUCUACCCCCAAAGCCCACACUGGGUAGCAAGCAUUAUCCUUCCAUUUAUUUCCAUACACACACUCACUAAUUCUGUGUUUCCUCUACGUAUGUUUCCACAGGCGAGUUUUAUGUCUUUAUGACCUUUGCUCAUUUUUUUUCAAUUGGAGUGCUUAUGUUUUUCUUAUUAAUUAGCAAUAACUUUUGGCUAUUAAGAAUAUUAAUUGCCAUUUUUAAAUCUACUUUUUUCUCUAUGAAAUGUAAUUAUAUACAAUUUACAACUUUCACUUCUGUUUGUGAUUAGUGCAAUGAUGUGAGUAAUGACUUCAAUAAGCCCUGAAGCCUGAUGUCGUACUCCUCAGGUAUAGGUGAGCGCAAGAAGCUUAGCCAAGCAGAUGGGGUUAGAUUUUGCUGGUAGCGCAGCCAUGGACAUUAAGAGGGUUGGAUAAAAGUGCACACAGCAACAGGAAUGGGGGAUGAAGUGACAGAGAAAGCUAGCAGACAGGGUCGCACAGUUGCAAUUUCCCCUUCGUGAGCCUCUAUAGGAAAGGGGUCUCUUUUUCAGUUUUUCUCACCUUGCGGGACUUUUUCUGACACUUUCCCUUACUUCUGCCACCAUAUCCCAAGAACAGGAGUUUUGUCACACAGUACAGUUUUAGGGCUUCAAAAUCUCUUCUUUUCAUUCCAAAAUUUGAAUUAAUCCUUUAUCAAAGCAAAGAUUAAGCUUUGACCACAGACCAUCUUCCCUAAAGCAGGACAGGUGCCAAGGGGGACAUGGGGGAUUGGGGCCCAGCUUGGGUCCCACCAGGCACUGACUGGCAGUGUGACCAUAAGGAAGUUGUUUUUCCAUCCCCUGGCAUUGGUUUUCUCACUAGUAGAAUGGGGAUGAUACAGCCAUGUCACAGAUGGCUUUGAAAUUAUAUAAGAAAACGUUUACCAAGCACCAAUGCCUGUGUGACCCUGAGUGUUUAGAAGCUGGGCCUCUGCCGCCACCGGUGUCUUUAGAGAUGGGGACAUCCAAGUCCUCUAGGGCUUUCACUGGAGAAAUGCGAAACACUGCUAGGACUCAGCUACCCUGCUACUAAACUAGCACUUCAGUUGACGUUUCUCCAAGAUUGUCCCAAGAGACACUUCCAGAGCUAAACGGCAGGACAGCAAGACAUUUCCUCGCUCCAGUUGCCCUCUUCUCCUCUGUGUGGGCACCAAAGCCCUUCACCUGCUGCCUCAUCCUAGAAUCCACAAUUCCUUGCCUCAGUGACUAUUGUUGAAAUAUCUGUCGUCCCCAAACCCUCUAUCUUUGGCUUGGAUUACACAGGAUAUAGUUAUACUACAGAGUUAUAGUAUAAAUGAAGCAAUACCAGGAUUCAUUCAGAGAAGAUUCCCCAGAACAUCAGAACUCAUUGGAAGUAAUAGAUGAGAAAGGCAAUCCUCCUAAUUUCCUACAAAGACCAAAACAAUCCCUCCUUUGCUGAUGCCGGCUAGUUAGUUCCCAGCCAUCCCUCUCCACCCCCAGCACGCCCCUCCUUUGGCCUUGGGGUGGGUUUAUUGUCAUAGCACCCUUCGUUUGCAGAGCAAUGUAGAUGUAGAGGAAAUGGAGUUAUGUGCAUGGAGCCCCACUCUUUGCCAAGCACUGUAAACACACCUCAUCCUCACAGCAGCCCAAUGAGAUCCCUAUCAUCACCUACUUAACAAAAAAGGAAGCCAAGAUCCAGAAGUCUGAACAGUUCCCAAAGCCACAUAACUGGCCAAUGACCAAAGUGCAACUCCUACCCAGCUGCAUGUGCCUCCAACGCCCCUCGUCGCCCCGCCAUGCACUCAUCCUUACAAAGCACUUUCACAUGUGUUUUCUUCUUAGUCUGCCCCCAAAUCCUUCAAAGUAGCACAGCUCCCUUCCCACUGUCUCCAUUUAUUGAUGUGGGGCUGAAAGAAGCUGCAGAAUGGAUUCUUAUCCUCACUGAGUGGCAUGUGGUGCCUCUGGAGCCAGGACCCCAGGCAUGGGCCUGCACCCCACCCAGGUAGCCUCCUACAGCCAGGCCUGGGAUGGAGAGCAGCCACCUGAGAGCUCCAAAGUCCUCCACUGAAGGAAGACAAAAAUAUUUACCUUGUUUCUGUGAUCAAAAAUAUUCUACUUAGAAAUACUUCUGGAUAUUUCAACAAGAUCUAAGUCCACAUUGACCAACUCACUGGGGAAUCCUGACUUCAGGGGCCCUGGACCCCCAACCCUCCUCCCCAAGAGGAUCACUUAGCUUCAGCAAGAAGGUGCUGCUGUAUAGGCCUUCAGCCCCAGCUGGAGGUCAUCUCCACAGCUCCUUUUACUUGUAAAAGUUUAUCAGUACAACCAGCCCCUGAGGGCCACAGAAUUAGAGGUAAAACCAAGCAUAGCUCUGAAGGAGGAAGUAUCGAACUGCAGCCAAAACAAAUGUUGCCUGAGACGAGGGAUUAGAAUAAAACUACAAGAAGAGCUGGCACAAUAAACACACUUACGCUGCAUUAUUCAAGGGCAUGAGGUAUGAAGGGCAGCUCACCUUGGAGAAUGCAAUCGUCUGGUCAGCUUGCAGCCAUUUUAAGCUGCAUUCAGUGAGGUGUCAUUAAGGCUUUGGAACAUUCUCACUGGUAUCAUAGACUUUUUGAACUCAAAAGGAUCUUUGAGACAAUCCAUUCCCAUCCUCAUAUCUAACAGUUGAUGGAACUAGUGUCCAAAUAAGUUCAAUGACUUACUCAAAGUUAUUUAGCUGGUCAGUAACAGAAAAGUGACCAGAAGUCAGGUGCAGAGCUUCAAUAACAUCAACACAGAUUGCCAAGCCCUCAAAGACACUGUUUAUGUGCACAUACACAGGCACAUGUAUACACGUGCAUAUGUGCACACAGACACAUACAUAUGUGAUGCAAAUGUAAGCACACAUGCACAUACAUACAUGCGCACGCAUAUACUCACAUACAUACAUGCGCACACAUAUACUCACAUACAUACAUGCACACACAUAUACUCACAUACAUACAUGCGCACACAUGCACAUACAUACAUGCGCACACAUAUACUCACAUACAUACAUGCGCACACAUAUACUCACAUACACACUUCACUCAGACUCUACACAUCAUGUUUUUAUCAAGCCUUUCUGGGCAUCCAAGCAGGAUAUAACUUGGGUAACGUGGCUGAGCAUGCAGCUGACUGAGAGGCACACUGCACCGGGAGGGACCUUGCUUACCAUUAGCUUUAUAUUUAUACCUGUUGUUCCUUGACAGCCAGGCCAAUAACAGCACCGACCUAGUGGACUGUACUAGGUUUCCCAAACGACUGUGUGGGAAAAUGUUGACCAAGGGCUCUGAAUGGUGCCUGGUGCCUAACAGAUCCUCAUUCAUGUCCUAGAUGGGGCUGUGUCAUUUCUUACAAGGCAGGAAACAAAUGCAGUGUAAGGAGCAGGGCUUCUGUGGUCAGACCACCCUGGACCGGGACCCCUAUUCUGCUCUUAACUCUGGGCAGCUUGCCCACCCUUGCUUGGCUGUGGCACCCAUGUAUACAUGAGUUGUUGUCAGGAGUGAAUGAGGUGAUGGCACUGGUUGCCCAAUUGCCAGCAAAUAUGAAGUGCUCACGAACAGAAAGGCAAUCCAGGGUGCAACUUGCAUGUCAUAGAGAAUCACACCAGCCUACCUCUUCUUUUCCAAAAAUCCAGGUCUACAGUUUCCUCCUUGAGGGUGAUUUUUGUAAUCCUGCAGCACCAGGAUGUGUUGGCUGUGGCCUGGAGUCAAAGCUCCAGGAACUUCCGUAGAAGAAAAGUUUCUCCAAAACCCUUUCAAAAGUCACCUAAUCAGGAAGUCUCUGCAAAGGGAUUUGGAACUGACUUGGAUGGGUUCUUUCCUGGUAGACACUCAGCACUUGAUCUUCACUAUAUUACUCUCCACUUGUUGCUAAAUUCCUUUCUAAGCAUCUCAAGUCAUUUCAUCUAGGUUUGCUAUUCUCAACUCCAUCACAAUGGCCUGGGGAACAAUAAUUACCCUUGUCAGCUAAGACAGCAUGUCCACCCAGUAGGAACUCAAGAGCCUGCUGCCAGAAUAUCUUUCCUUCCACCCUACCCUAACCGUGAAGUGAGGCACCAACAUUCUUUAAGGAAUUCUGCUGAAGUCACAGUUUCCCAGAGGCUCAAUUUGAUGCUGGGGAGAGGAGUGGGACAAUCAUCCCCCUCCCACAUCACACAUUCUGGACACGAGCUCCUCUUCAGGGGCCAAGUGUGUGAGGCCAGAUUCCAUCAGGAGGAACAAGACAGAGACUUCGCAGGAUGGCCUGGUCCAAGGACAAACUCAGACCCCCUGAGGGUCUCACACACUUGUCAUGUGCCUGGUGAAAAAGCUCAUUGCCAUGGUCAGCCCUCAGAGCUAAAAAUAUUAGAAGCUAAAGUGGUAGAGAGACAGGAGAAAGAGCCACGUCAACUGAGGUGGGAAGGUUCCUGCCAGAAAGGGUUAGUGUCGAAAAAGCUCUGCACCCAUCGCCCUCACUGUACACACACACACACACACACACACACACACACACACACCCUUUGCUGAUGUGAAAUGGCAAAAUGGCUAGAUCAGACAUUUGGCCUAGACUGAGCAUCUUCAGUCUCAAACCACACACACCAUGGAAGCAGCCUCUGGUGAGGGCAUGUCACAAUUCAUUGACUUGUUGAGCCUCCCCACAGGAAAAAUAUAGAAAACUGCCAAGGAUGCAGCACCCAACAACAUAUGGCUCCCAUAAAUCACAUUCUUAUUCUCUAAAAUCUUCAUUAUUUAUGGAGCAAUGGUCCUAAGAAGACUUUUUCAGGAAAUUAAAUUCAUAUUGAAUUUAAUCCUGCCUGCAACUCUUAUUUUCCCAGUGAGGAAACAGCUACUGGGAGAUGAAGUAGCUUGACAAGACUACACUGCUGGAAAGAGAUAGAAGACUUUAAAAGAGACCACAAAGCUAUAGUAACCAAAACAGCAAGGUACUGGCAUAAAAACAGACUCAUACACUAAUAGAACAAAGUAGACAGCCCAAAAAUAAAUCUCCGCAUUUACAGCCAACUGAUUUUCAACAAAGGUGUCAAUAGCACUUACUGGGAAAAGGACAGUCUCUUCAAUAAAAGAUGCUGGAAAAACUAGAUAUUUAUAUGCAGAACAAUGAAACUAGAUGCCUAUCUCUGACCGUAUACAAAAGUCAACUCAAAAUGGAUAAAAAGUUGAAAUGUAAGACAUGAAACUAUGAAACUACUAGAAAAACAACAUAGGGAAAAUUAUUCAUGACACUGGAGUAGGCAAAGAUUUUUUGGAAAAUACUUCAAAAACACAGGCAACAAAAGGAAAAAUAGACAAAUGGGAUUACAUCAAACUAAAAAGUUUCCAUACAACAAAGGAAACAAUCAACACAGUGAAGAGACAACCUACAAAAUGGAAGAAAGUAUUUGCAAACUAUGCACCUGACAAGGGAUUAAUAGUCAUAAUACAUAAGGAACUCAUACAACUCAACAGCAAAAAUAAUAAUAAUAAUAAUCAUCAUCCAAUUUUAAAAUGGGCAAAGGGCCUGAAUAGACAUUUCCCCAAAGAAGAUUUACAAGUAGCCAGCAGAUAUAUCACAAAAUACUCAACAUCAUUAAUCAGGGAAAUGCAAAUCAAAACCACAACCAUAUACUGUCUCACCCCAGUUAGAAUGGCUAUUAUCGGAAAGACAAAAAGUAACAAAUGCUGGGAAGGAUGCAGAGAAAAAAGGAACUCUCUCAUACACCAUCAGUGGGAAUGUAAAUUAGUGCAGCCCUUAUGGAAAAUAGCAUGGAGGUUCCUCAAAAAAUUAAAAAUAGAACAAUUUUUAAAUUUCAAUAAAAAUUUAAAAUGUGAUCCAGCAAUGCCACUACUGGGUAUCUAUGCAAAGGAAAGGAAAUCAGCAUGUCAAAGAGCUAUCUGCACUCCCGUGUUCAUUGCAGCAUUACUCACGAUAGCCAAGAUUUGGAAUCAACCUAGGUAUUCCUCAGUGGAUGAAUGGAUGAAGAAAAUGUGAUACUGUAUCACAGGAACUUGUACAAGUUAACCUGUAUUCAACUGGUUUUAUUCUUUUUUAUGGCUGAAUAAUAUUCCAUUGCUUACAUACAAUCCUUAAAUGGCUUUUAAAAAUAGUAAAAGAUAAAGAGAACAUCGAAAAGGACCUACAAUUUGCUAUAAUUGACAUCAGCAUCAGGGUAAACCCUGCAGCCCUCAAACCGGUUACUGCUGAAUUGUGCAUUCCCCAUGGGAUCCCACACUGCUUCCAGUGCCACAGCCAGAUCCACACUAAACCCUUAACACAUGGAAAUGGAAUGCCAGGGAGGGAGCUGCUAAGCAGCACUAUUAAUGCCAACACUCUCUUCUUUACUCAGCUAUCAAUAUAAAUUGAAGUCGGUAAAACUGUGAGAUGCUUUCAAUUAAACAGAUGUAUGCUGACAUUUGUUUCCCCUCCCCCAAGGAAAUAUCUAACCUCUCUGUGGGAACUACCACAAUUCAUUCUAGCCUCAGCCCACCUCAUUCUAGCCUGAGCCUACUUCUCACCCUAAUCUUCCUCAUCUGGUUGUAACCUCAGCCCAACUCUCAUUCCAGCCUCUGCUGUGACCAGUUCUUUGUAGGUACAGCUCCUCAGCACCUUGACCCCAGCCCUCUCUGAUGUCUGCCAGGACCUCUAGGUGCUCACACAGGAGAAAUCUGGAAGUACAGGGGCCCUUGCCAAAUGGGAGAUGGAAUCAUGGAAAAGUCUUCACCCCUCCAGGGAAAAGCAGACAGCUCCUAAAUCCAUUUCUUAGGGCUCCUUGCUUCCCUCCCCUGCCUUCCUCUCCCUGCUCCUGACUUCUGCUCCCUGGCAUCAUUUCUCACAUAAGCUACCUGCAGCAGCCCCUCUCACGCUGUGUCUCAGGGAAACCCCAGCCAAGACAAAUCAUUUCACGCAGUAAAAUUUAAUGACCAUAGUUUUAGAAUCAACAAACAGGACACGGCAUCUUACAAAAGAUGUUUCUGUGCCAUUUCUCCUCCAGGGAGGCAGACAGGUGGGAAGACCUAGACAGAACAUUGAAUUGUACAGAAUUCCAGAGCAUCUCAUUAGUUUGUGUAAUUAGUCAGAGAAUUUGAAGUAAGGCUAUUCCCAAAAUCGGGGCUGGAUGGCUGCUGUACUUCUUCAUGAUGGUGAAAAUAAAGUUGAGUUUUACUUCCCUUAAGAGAGUGAGACGAAGAAGUAAAGAAAAUCAGGUCUCGUGUGGCAGUAUGCCAAGGCCUAGCCACAUCAAUUCUGAGAGGUUGUCACCACACCUUAGCUUAGAUGGCUGAAGUAGCUUUUAAAACAUAGUUUCCAGAAAGUUGAGACGAAAAAUCCCACACUAAACAAAUAUUUUAACUUGGAGAGAAAAAGAUUGCCCUCUAAGGUGUACCUGGAGUGUGUGGAGGAAGGAAUACUAAUACCACAAUACUCCAAAAACAAACAACACAGAGCUUGAGAAACAAAUAUUGUGCUUUACCAAAUAGACAAAAGAUCUUGGGCGCAUUCCAGAAGGACAAGGGAUACCGUAGAUUAGUACGAGGAACCAGACAGACUGCCCGCACAGCUCAGAACCACUUUCGGGAGUAUGCCUACACACACGACUUACUGAGCAGACCAGUGAAGACAUGUCAACAUACAGGCUGGUUCUUCUGCACAGGUGUGGUGAGUGGGGAGACUAAAGAGACCUUUCCCACUGUGUUUCAGGGCAUGGGGCACAGGCGUGACACCAUCAGGAGACUGAAGGAGGGAGCCUAGCUAAAUGACCUUCUCCAAGUCCCUGAAUCUUCUGAGCCCCAGUUUCUAUGUCUUACAAAAUUAGUCUGAUAGUAUCAAAGAAACAUCCUAAGGAAGAAGAUGUGAAAGGGCAUUAGAGAAAGUGCUGUGUAGAAAUAAAUAAUCCCAUGCUUACUAGUACGAGAGCUGGGACAGACACUCACAUUUGCUUGGAAAAUCCUGUGUUCCUAAAUCAGCCCCAUAAACUAGCAUGAAAGGAAGUCCUUAAGUAAAUUUAGACUACAAACAGCUUGUACAUACCCUUAAGCACUACAAAAGCAUCCCUGUCUUAUGACUAAUACGUAAAGCCAUUCUUGUUUAACUGAAGGCAAUCUAAGGGUGCCUUCUCUCAUGGCAGUACCACUUGAGCCCAACUUUAGCUGGAGCAUAACCUUGAAAGGAGCAUAACGUUGAAAGUAACAUAUGGAUUGAUAUAAUUGAGGCUGGCCUCCCGCCAAUUGGUAAAAAUUAGCCAACUUUUUCUUGAGCAAGUUAAAAAAAAUCUACUUUGUAUUUGAGCUCCAAUUUAUCAUUGUAAUUGAUAUUCUGAAAACAAGUGCAUAGCUAGAAAUAAUAGUGCCAUUUGCAUAGUCUAGAAAUUGAACCCAGCUAAAGCCCAGUGUCUGAUAAACUAGCAAAUUAAAAGCAGUGCUUUGAUCUAGUUAUGGAGCAUCAGUAGCUGCUAAGAUUACAAAAAGAGAGACAAUAUGGGCUCCUUUUGUGAUGGAAAAGCAAACAAUACCUUUAAUGUAGUUUUAUAAAAAAAAAUCUGAUCUGAAUAUGAUCAAGGCUCUAAAUCCAAUUACCAAUUAACAGGAAAUGUAUGUGGAGGAAUAUGUUAAAAGACAUCAUGGGAAUGCAAUCAGUAAAAUCCAGAAUGUUGGAAACUGUACAAACAUUUCAGGUUUUGUUCAACAAAACAGGAUGGAAAGAAAAAGAGAGAGAGAGUGAAGGGUAAAGGAUUGACUUAAUUACUUAUUAAAUAAAGGUAGGAAGACACACUGACCAAUAUAAACAUGCUUACUUUGAGUCCUGAUUCAAAAUGCAUAAACGGUUUUUAAAAUGCGUGAUUUUGAUUUUUGACCAUGAAGAAGAAACUGGUAUAGGAUUUUCUUCCCCUCCAAAACUAAAAGAUAAUUAUACAAAAAUGUUUAAAAACAUCUUUUUCAGACACAGGAUAUCAAACAAUGUAAGACUAUGAUCCUGAGAAAAGAAAGCAAAGGAGCUGAGUUUUACAACUGUCCUGGAUUUCUGCCUGACAGCGACUUUUAAACAGCAUGAAAGGGACAGGGGAGGCCAGGAAAAGCACCACAAUCUCCCUGAGUUGAAGAGAAACAGAUCAGGCUUUGGAGAGGCUGAUCCAGCUGGAAUUGGUAGAGCCAAGUUCAGAGACAAGUGAAUUGUGCAAAGAAAGAGUUACGGAGAUCUACAGAGGUGGCCCCUUGAGUCAUUGGCUGAAUAUUAAUCUGUACAUUCAUAGGGGGAAGAUCCACAAGGCUAGAUAAAGAACGGAAGAACUAUAAUCAAAACCAUUCCCAGACUUGCACAAGGCUGAGAGGCAUGCAAAUUCUAACGAGCCAGAGCAGAUACACCUUCUGGAACACUCAGAGCAAUAUGUAGAGAUUUCAGAAGGAUCAAACCUUAGUACUAGAGCUAACUUAGCCCUGAAGAACAGCCUAUUCUAGAAUUGUUCUAAAAAGGCUUUAAAGCAAGUCUAGUAAAGAUUAAUCAGUAAACAUAUAACUUACAUAUAACUUACCUGUCUGCCAAAACAAAUUUCAGAAUUUUUUAAGGAAGACAACUGUAUCUAAAUACUAAACAACAGAAACUCAUGAUGUCCUGCAUCCAACAAAAAAUUAUUAGACAUGCAAAAAAUCACCAAAUUAUGACCCAUAGCAAAAGGAAAAAUCAGUCAAAAGAAACAGAGAUAAAUAACAGAGAUGCUGGGAACAGCAGAAAAUGAUUUUAUUAUUAUUAUUUUUUUUUUUUUUUUGAGAUGGAGUCUCGCUCUGUCGCCCAGGCUGGAGUGCAGUGGUGCGAUCUCAGCUCACUGCAACCUCCACCUCCCGGGUUCAAGCGAUUCUUCUGCCUCAGCCUCCUGAGAAGCUAGGAUUGCAGGCGUGUGCCACCACACUUGGCUAAUUUUUGUAUUUUUAGUAGAGAUGGGAUUUCACCAUAUUCGUCAGGCUGGCCUUAAACUCCUGAUCUCGUGAUCCGCCCACCUCAGCCUCCCAAAGUGCUGGGAUUACAGGCAUGAGCCACCACGCCCAGCCUAAAAUGGAAAUUCUAGAAAAGAAAAAUACAAGUUCUGCAGGGAAAAAUUCAUUGUACAAUCAUAACAGUUGAUCAGAUGCUACAAAAGAAAGAUCAGUGAACACAAAGACACUAUAGUAGAAAAUAUUCAACUAAUGAGCAGAGAGGAGAAAAGACAAAAACAAAAACAGAAACUCAGUGACCUGUGGCAUGAUAUCCAUCAGUCAAACAUACAUGUAAUUGGAGCCCAAGAAGAUAGAAGGUGGCAAAAAAAAUUUUUUUGAUGAAAUCGUGACUGAAAAUUUGCCAUUUCUGAUGCAAACGAUAAACCCACAGAUCCAAGAAGCUCAAUGAUACCCAAGAUAGAUAAACACAAAUAACAUCAUAAUCAAAUUGCUAAAAAUUAUUUAUAAGCAGGAAAAGUUUUAAGUGGCUAUAUAUAUAAAUAUAAAAUAACAUGUAUAUUUUAUAUAUAUGUACACACGCACACACAUACAGGUAUAUUUGUGAUAUAUAAUGUAACAAAAAGCACAUUCACUGUUGCCUGGGGCUAAGGAUGGGGCAGGGAGGUAGAAUUGACUACAGGAAGAUGAGGCAGCUUUUUGUGGAAUCAAAAUAUUCUCUUUGAUUAUGAUGGUGGUUAUAGGUGUGUACACCCUUGUCAAAGCUCAUUUAAAUGUACUCUUAAAAUAGGCAGAUCUUAUUGUGUGUAAGACAUACCUUAACAAAAUUGAUUUUUAAACCAUAUGACAUUUUUGGGAUAAGUGAUAAUUUGAACAUGCACUGAGUAUUGGAUGACAUUUAAAAAUUACUGUUAAUUUUAUAGGUACGAAUGUGUUAUUGUGGUUAUGUUUGAUUCUUAUUGUGAGAAGUGCAUAGUAAAAAAGUUACAGAUAAAAUUAUACGAUGUCUGAUAUUGGUCUUUUAAAAAUGUAGGCAGCAGGGGAAAGAGAAGAUAAAGCAAUGUUGGUCAUCAGUUGAUAAUUGUUGAAGCUGGAUAUUGAGUACACGGGAACCCACUGAACUAUUUUAUCUACUUUUAUGACAACUUGAAACUUUCCAACAUAAAAAAUUCUUUUACAUGCUUUAAACAUAUGAACUAUGUGGUAAAUUAUUCAACUAAAAAUGUAAACUGAGUAACUUUUUUAAGUGACAGAGGCUACAGGACAUAUACAAGCAAAAAGAAUGAUCUCUACCAUCAUGGAACUCAUGAUCUAUGAAAUGCCAAGUAAUAAAAAAAAUUAUAUGAUAAGAGUAGAUGAGACCUUUUAUGAGUUGGGAUUAGGUUCCAAGAGAAUUAAACUCCACAAUAACAGAGAUUUAGACAAGAUCGAGGUUUCUUUGUCUCUAAGAUAAAAAUCUGGAAAUAGGCCAUCAGAACUGGAAGCACUGUCAGAGCCAUCAAAGCUGGCAGAAUCCAACCUGCAACAAUGCAGUUCACAAUCAUUAACUCAUUUAACCUUUUGCCAGCCCAGUAAAGGAGGUACUGCCCAAGGUCAAAUCUAAAUGUGAGGAUUUGAUUCUGGAUCUGAAACAUUUUCCAUGAAAAGAAUUAUAACAUCCUCAUAUUUUUCCUUAUUGCUUCACUAUCAAUACUCAGUUUAAUUUCACCAAGAUUAAAGAAUUAGAUAGAGGCUUUGUGGAAAUUCUGAAUUUUUGAACACUCUUAAAUACACCAUUAUUCUUCAUUAAGUCCAAUUGCAUAUCAUAAUUUGCACAUUCUUCUCUAUUAAUGUAGUAUCACUAGCACUAGUCUAAUAUUUAUUAACCAAGAUUAGGAUAAUUUUCCAGCUCAAAGAAAAUUAUCUAGCUCAAAAAACAAUAGAGCUUAAACAAAAAUGAAAGGGAAGAAAAAUAAUUCAAACUCCCUGAUAGGGAAUUUUUAAAUGGUAAAACCAUUGAUUGAUUACGAUCAUUCCCUGAGAGGGCAUAUUGGUUCAACAAAGAAUAGCUUGAUUAUAAUCUGGCCUGACAACAAAGUUGGCCUCACAGACUGUAAGUGAAUUGUAAAGGCAAUGUAAAAAAAAAAAAAAAAAAAAAAAAACUUAACAUGUAAAGGACUUUGAAAGUUAAGGUUGUAAACUUGAGAUGCAAUUCUAUUUGUAUAUGAAAGUAAUAGUAACACAGAUAGAUGUCUACAUUCCUAUAGCUUGGAAAUAACUUGGCAAAGAAGUUAUAGGAAUUUCACUAAGCUCAAAAGGCAGAAUUACAGCAAAAUAUUGUCAGUAUUAUGUAAGACAGGUUAUUUUCAUUUUUGCAAGCAAAUAUAAUGCUAAUUCAGUCUGCCUUGCCAGCAUGGAUUCUGAGCAUUACACUCAGUGUUAAAAUUCUGCCCAUUUAGUGAUGUAGCCUUAUAUAAUUCUGUCAACCCUUUCCAGGUAGUCAGAGUGUACCAACAGAUUGGUGUACAGUCUACUUCAGGUAGUAAUACAACCUCCAUCCUUGAAGGUUGAGUUAAUUACAAAGUAGCUAACAACUUCUUGAAAGACAAUCACAAGUCUUCUCCAGGCUAAAUUUGAACCCUAAAGUCCAAAGCUCACAGGAUCAUUUAUGAAAGGGAUAAAGGAGACCUCAGAACAGGAAUAUUUGGGCUUAGCAUCAGAAUUUGCCAAAGAACUAAUUAGGAAUAGUGUAGAACUCAGAUUUCAAGCCAUGCUUAGAAAGCCAUGCCCUAAUAUUUUUAACACAUAGACCAUAAGUUUAUUUUUUAUUUAUUGGACCUCUAAAACUAGAGUGCCUAUAGAAUUUAUUGUCCCAGGAUGCUUUUAAAAGGGGAAGGGGACCAUCUUAAUAAUGGCACAGAGGAAACAUGUGGACAUUGUUCUGAGCAACUGAGAUGUAUGGUCAGAUCAUCUAAAACCAUAGCAUGCACUAUGAUCAAGGUGGAUUUAUUCCAGGGAUGCAAGGAUGGUUCAAUAUAUUCAAAUCAAUGAAUAUGAUUCACCAAAUAAACAGAAUUAAAAACAAAAACCAUAUGAUCAUCUCAACAGAUGCAGAAGAGCAUUUGAUAAAAUUCGGAAUCCCUUCAUGAUAAAAACUCUCAACAAACUAGGCAUAGAACAACAAAACAACAAAAGCCAUAUAUGACAAACCCAUGGCCAACAUCAUAUUGAAUGGGGAAAAUUUGAAAGUAUUUCCCCUAAGAAUUAAAACAAGACAAGGAUGCCCAUUUUUGCCACUUCUAUUCAACAAAGCAUUGGAAGUUCUACCCAGAAAAUCAGGCACUAGAAAGAAAUAAAAGGCAUCCAAAUUGGAAAAGAGGAUGUCAAAUUAUCUCUGUUUGCUGAUGAUAUUAUCUUAUACUUAGAAAACCCUAAAGACUCCUCCAACUAUCACUAGAUUUGAUAAAUGAAUUCAGUCAAGUUUCAGGAUACAAAAUCAACAUACAAAAAUCAGUAGCAUUUCUAUACACCAGUAAUGACCAAGCUGAGAACCAAAUCAAGGACUCAACCCCAUUUACGACAGCUACAAAAAUAAUUAAAAAAUAAAAUAAAAUACUUAGGAAUACAUUUAAUGAAGGAGAUAAAAGGUCUCUACGAAGAAAAUUAUAAAACAUUGAUAAAAGAAAUUGUAGAUGACACAAAUGUUUGUGUCAUCUAUAUCCCAUGCUCAUGGAUUGGAGGGAUCAAUAUUGUUAAGAAGACCAUACUGCCCAAUGCGAUCUAUAGAUUCAGUGCAAAUCCUAUCAAAAUAUCAACAUCAUUUUUUACAAAAUUGGAAAAAAAAAUGCUAAAAUUCAUAUGGGACCAAAGAGCCCAAAUAACCAAAGCAAUCCUAAGCAAAAAGAACAAAUCUAGAGGCAUCACAUUAUCUAACUUCAAAUUAUACUACAAGGCUAUAGUGACCAAAACAGUAUGGUACUGGUUUAAAAACAGAUAUAUACAUCAAUGGAAUGGAAUAAAAAACCCAGAAAUGAAGCCACAUACCUAGAGCCAACUGAUCUUCCACAAAGGCAGCAAGAACAUACAAUGGGGAAAGGACAUCCUGUUCAAUAAAUGAUGCUGGGUGCUGGAAAACUUGCAUAGCCAUAUGCAUAAGUAUAGGAGCUAUAUCUCUCACCAUAUCCAAAAAUCAACUCAAAAUGGAUUAAAGACUUAAAUGUAAGAUCUGAAACUAUAAGAACUAUAGAAGAAAACCUAAGAAAAACUCUUUUUCUUUAAAGAGAUGGAGUCUCUCUCUCACACCCAGGCUGAAGUGCAGUGGCACAAACAUGGUUCACUGCAACCUCAACUCCCUGGACUCAAGCGAUUAUCUUGCCUCAGCCUCUUGAGUAGCUAGAACUACAGGUGCACACCACCAUGCCUGGCUAAUUUUUAAAAUUUUUUUGUAGAGACAGGGUAUCACUAUGCUGCCUAGGCUGCUCUUGAACUCCUGGGCUCAAGCAAUCCUCCCACCUCAGCCUCCCAAAGUGCUGGGAUUACAGGCAAGAGCCACUACACCUGGCCAAAAAACUCUGUUGAAUAUUGGCUUAGGCAAAGAAUUCACGACUAAUACUUCAAAAGCAAAUGUAACAGAAACAAAAAUAGAGAAAUAGGACUUAAUUAAACCUAAAAAGCUUCUGCACAGGAAAAGACAUAAUCAACAGAGUAAGUAGACCACCUGCAGAAUGGGAGAAAAUAUUGGCUAACCAUGAAUCCAACAAAGGACUAAUAUCUAGAACCCAUAGAGAACUCAAACAAUUCAACAAGUAAAAAACAAAUAACCUCAUUAAAAAGUGGACAAAGGACACGAACAGUUUUCAAAAGAAGACACAUAAAUAGCCAAUAAGCAUAUUUUAAAAAUGCUCAGCAUCACUAAUCAUCAGACAUAAGAUGAAUUAAAACUACAAUGAG
rnacentral:lncRNA from 1 species